rnacentral:rRNA from 1 species
CCUACGGGUGGCUGCAGUGAGGAAUAUUGGUCAAUGGUCGGGAGACUGAACCAGCCAAGCCGCGUGAGGGAUGAAGGUACAGAGUAUCGUAAACCUCUUUUGUCAGGGAACAAAGGCGGGGACGCGUCCCCGGAUGAGUGUACCUGAAGAAAAAGCAUCGGCUAACUCCGUGCCAGCAGCCGCGGUAAUACGGAGGAUGCGGACGUUCUCCGGAUUUAUGGGGUUUAAAGGGUGCGCAGGCGGGCUGUUAAGUCAGCGGGCACAUCCCGGGGCUCAACCCCGGCCAGCCGUUGAAACUGGCAGUCUCGAGUUGGAGAGAAGGAUGCGGAAUGCGCGGUGUAGCGGUGAAAUGCAGAGAUAUCGCGCAGAACUCCGAUUGCGAAGGCAGCAUGCCGGCUCCACACUGACGCUGAGGCACGAAAGCGUGGGUAUCGAACAGGAUUAGAUACCCGUGUAGUC